UACGGAGGGUGCGAGCGUUGUCCGGAAUCACUGGGCGUAAAGGGCGCGUAGGUGGCGCAGGAAGUCAACGGUGAAAGUCCGGGGCUCAACCUCGGAUCGGCCGUGGCGACUCGUGGGCUGGAGCACUGUAGAGGCGGGUGGAAUUCCGGGUGUAGCGGUGGAAUGCGUAGAGAUUGGAAAGAACACCGAUGGCGAAGGCACUUUACUGGGCUAUUACUAACACUCAGAGACGAAAGCUAGGGUAGCAAAUGGG
rnacentral:rRNA from 1 species